ACAAUUUAUAUAAUAUAUUUGAAGUAAUUUUUCAUUGUUUAUGAAUCUUAAGAUUCAAGUUUUAUCUUGUUGAUUAACAAAUUGAAUAUUGAUUUGGUGACCUUGAUGUCCGUAGUUGCAAUAACUUAAGUUAUCAGUUCGGUCAUCUUUAAUAUGCCACUGGGAUUAUUCUGUUGUAUUUUUGUUAUGGAGUAUCUUUGUUUGUGACUUUGUCUGCAUGUCUUUGAUUAGACUAUCUCCAGGGAAGCUUACUUGCUAGAGUUUGCUGUUAUGUUCUUUAGUUUCUUAUUAUUGUGCAUGAAUCUUAUAACAUGGCAGUUGAUGCAUGCUGUGGAUUUAGACCAUCAUAGAGGUCCAAUGAUUUCUUUGCAUGUUAAGUAUCAGGAACAGUCAGGAUGAACUUCACAUUUUUGUUCAUGUUGACCUGGUAAAAAUUAAAUGUACCAUGUUUUAUGUUGUUCGGACUCCUUUUUACAGAAUAGUACAUCUUCACAUUGCAACAAGUGCACAAUUCUUCCACUGUAGGAUAUGAAAUCGGGUUCUGAUCUGGCGGUGGAGGUAGUACUGACUGUGAAAGGCCGACUCCAUUUUCUACCAGAAGUGCCAUGCCCAAACCCCAAUUCAGAUGUGAGUCUAUGUGGCAAUGGAUGAACCAAAUUCCUGAUUUGCAUUAGUGAAAGAAAACCAUGGAAUAGAUUAAUAUGUGAUGCUGGUACAAACUGCAGAAGCAAAGUUUUACAGUACUACAAUACGUUACCUGGAUUGUCAGCCACAAAACGAAUAGCCACCCAUCCUCCAGGAGGCGUUCCAAUGGUGUUCCUGACAGGUGGGUCUACAAGAUUGAACUUGAGUGGAUCAGUAGCUGGGUUGAAGUUGCCAAAACCUGAACCGACUACAAAGAAGUGGAAUCCAUGAACAUGCAUAGGAUGUUCCUCUGUGGUCACUAUGCUUGUGUCUUGCAGAACAAUUUGCAUCUUCGAGCCGUACUUCACCUUGUAGAGCUUAGUUCCCCGUGAAGGUGUCCAUAGCCCCCUUGGUACAUUCCCAGUAUAAUCAAAUUGUACAGGGGGAACAGGGGGAAAGUCUGUGGUGAAGACACCGGGUAUUCUUUCAUAGUACGCUUGCAUUAAGGAGGUGGUUCUUGGGAGUUCAAAUGAUACAUUGUUCAUGCUGGCUGUGAAGCGGGUUCCGUUCGGUCCUUGACACCGGGGACUAUUAGGAUUCGUGCAAUUGAUUAAUCCCAACCCCACUAUGAAAUAUAGAUUCACAUCAACUUUCGUAAAGACUUUAAUCUGAGUAAGCCCUCUAAUCCUAGCAGUGAAAGCAGUUGCAGUGGCAGUGUCGUUGAAGGCAGGCAAAGCUGGCAAGACUGGCCUUGAUCUGUUUUGGCUACUGCGUCUAGUAGAUCUGUAUUCUAGGAUUGCAGUGGUGGUGGUAUUGUCAAACGGAGCAUUCACAGCAGAUUCAUAGGCGCGUGCUGCCAUGUAGUAGAGACCUUGGGGUUGAUCAGCAGUGACUAGGACAUUGAAUGUCUGACCAGGUCCUAUCAUGAGGACUGUGGUUCUAAAGGGCUUGGUAUAUGCUGCAUCUGUACCAACCACAGUCAUGCUGUGGUUGGCAAUGGAGAAGAAAAGUUCUUGAUUGAGUGCAGUGUUGAUGAUUCUCAACAUAAUUGUCUCCCCAGCUUCUACUGGAACACGCACAGUUCCUGCAUUGUGUGUUCGUUACAUCAAUGAAUCUGGAACCUCUCUCAAAAUAUAACUGCUUUUAAGUUAGUUAAGAAUUUAACCUUAACCGUAUUCAGCUAUGCUUUCCUUUUUAAGACUUUAUUAUAAUAAAAAUAAACUUUAAAGGUUCAGAAAAUCUGCCAUUUGAAAAUAAGUUAUCAAUCAUUUUAAUAUCCUUUUCAACCGUUAAGGAAUGCUGGCACACACUGAGUAGUAAUUUUCACACCUUGGCUUGAGCAUCUGUAAAGAUCACCAGGUUGCCCAUUAGUGGUAUAUGCAACAGAUGAAUUUGGAGGUAAUCCUGCAAAGUCUGCCUGCCUUUGGAGAAACACAAUAUCCGAAUCAAACCAUUGCCCUGUGGCAGCAACACGGUAAAACUGUCAUGACACUAAAUGAGAAGCUCAUUCGCAUUUUAAAUGUUUUUCUCUAAGGUAUAGUUUGUUCACAGUGGAAGGAGAUUCAUUAUUCAAGUGAAUUGAGCAGAAGAUGAUUUUAGAGAUGUACCAAGAAGGAGGGGAAAUUCUUGCUUAGGCACAGAGAAGGGAUAGGCAGAACCCAAUCUGGGAUGGAUGAUGAAAGCUCCAUAAACAGUGGCUCUCAGGAAGCCAGUAUGAGCAUGCCACCAUAAUGUCCCUUCCUGAUCCCUGAUUCUAAAUCGGUAUGUGUAACUUCCCCCCGGUUGAAUGGGACACUGUGUUACAUAACUCGGCCCAUCUGCCCAUGGAUUUCGCAGCAUCCUUAACCCAUGCCUGAUGCACAUAACCCAUUAUCACUUUGUGAGGAAGAUCAGAUUUAUGCUCCAGGAGCACAGUAAAUUGGUACAUGGACCAAGUAUGUAUCAAUAACAUAGUAUAUCGACUUAUGGACCAACUAUUUAUUGUUACAUUAGUGUGGGGAAAAGUUCUGACCGAAGAGUAUGAUAUUCAAGCAUUAGUUCCAUGUGAAAGUGAAAGAGAAAGAUGAUGCUAUGUACCAGUGGAUGGAGAUGUUGUACUGUGCUGCAUUUACUACUUUGAUUAUCACAAAAUCCCCGUUUCUAGCUU